rnacentral:rRNA from 1 species
AGAGUUUGAUCCUGGCUCAGGAUGAACGCUAGCUACAGGCUUAACACAUGCAAGUCGAGGGGCAGCAUCAUCAAAGCUUGCUUUGAUGGAUGGCGACCGGCGCACGGGUGAGUAACACGUAUCCAACCUGCCGACAACACUGGGAUAGCCUUUCGAAAGAAAGAUUAAUACCGGAUGGCAUAGUUUUCCCGCAUGGGAUAAUUAUUAAAGAAUUUCGGUCAUCGAUGGGGAUGCGUUCCAUUAGGUUGUUGGCGGGGUAACGGCCCACCAAGCCUUCGAUGGAUAGGGGUUCUGAGAGGAAGGUCCCCCACAUUGGAACUGAGACACGGUCCAAACUCCUACGGGAGGCAGCAGUGAGGAAUAUUGGUCAAUGGACGAGAGUCUGAACCAGCCAAGUAGCGUGAAGGAUGACUGCCCUAUGGGUUGUAAACUUCUUUUAUACGGGAAUAAAGUGAGGCACGUGUGCCUUUUUGUAUGUACCGUAUGAAUAAGGAUCGGCUAACUCCGUGCCAGCAGCCGCGGUAAUACGGAGGAUCCGAGCGUUAUCCGGAUUUAUUGGGUUUAAAGGGAGCGUAGGCGGACGCUUAAGUCAGUUGUGAAAGUUUGCGGCUCAACCGUAAAAUUGCAGUUGAUACUGGGUGUCUUGAGUACAGUAGAGGCAGGCGGAAUUCGUGGUGUAGCGGUGAAAUGCUUAGAUAUCACGAAGAACUCCGAUUGCGAAGGCAGCCUGCUGGACUGUAACUGACGCUGAUGCUCGAAAGUGUGGGUAUCAAACAGGAUUAGAUACCCUGGUAGUCCACACAGUAAACGAUGAAUACUCGCUGUUUGCGAUAUACAGCAAGCGGCCAAGCGAAAGCGUUAAGUAUUCCACCUGGGGAAUACGCCGGCAACGGUGAAACUCAAAGGAAUUGACGGGGGCCCGCACAAGCGGAGGAACAUGUGGUUUAAUUCGAUGAUACGCGAGGAACCUUACCCGGGCUUGAAUUGCAACUGAAUGAUGUGGAGACAUGUCAGCCGCAAGGCAGUUGUGAAGGUGCUGCAUGGUUGUCGUCAGCUCGUGCCGUGAGGUGUCGGCUUAAGUGCCAUAACGAGCGCAACCCUUAUCGAUAGUUACCAUCAGGUUAUGCUGGGGACUCUGUCGAGACUGCCGUCGUAAGAUGUGAGGAAGGUGGGGAUGACGUCAAAUCAGCACGGCCCUUACGUCCGGGGCUACACACGUGCUACAAUGGGGGGUACAGAAGGCAGCUACACGGCGACGUGAUGCUAAUCCCGAAAGCCUCUCUCAGUUCGGAUUGGAGUCUGCAACCCGACUCCAUGAAGCUGGAUUCGCUAGUAAUCGCGCAUCAGCCACGGCGCGGUGAAUACGUUCCCGGGCCUUGCACACACCGCCCGUCA